rnacentral:misc_RNA from 1 species
GUGGGGAGUUGAUGGGGAUCUCUGAUACCUGCGGCGGAAGGGAGAGGGUGAUCUGCGUCGUAUAGGGGGAGAUCUACGCUGCACCGGUGAGGGUGACCUAUGCUGCAUCUGCAUGGGCNNNNNNUACGCCGCACAGGUGAGGGUGAUCUUCUGCGUCGAAGGGGCGAAGGUGAUCUUCUGCGUCGAAGGGGUGAAGGCGAUCUACGGCGUCGAAUGG